rnacentral:piRNA from 1 species
UGUAAAAGUACCUGCACUAUCUCAUUGCCUC